rnacentral:rRNA from 1 species
UACGUAGGGUGCGAGCGUUGUCCGGAAUUAUUGGGCGUAAAGGGCUCGUAGGCGGUUUGUCGCGUCGGGAGUGAAAACCCAGGGCUUAACUCUAGGCUGGCUUUCGAUACGGGCAGACUAGAGGUAUGCAGGGGAGAACGGAAUUCCUGGUGUAGCGGUGAAAUGCGCAGAUAUCAGGGGGAACACCGGUGGCGAAGGCGGUUCUCUGGGCAUUACCUGACGCUGAGGAGCGAAAGUGUGGGGAGCGAACAGG